GUGGGGAAUAUUGGACAAUGGGCGAAAGCCUGAUCCAGCGACGCCGCGUGUGUGAAGAAGGCCUGCGGGUUGUAAAGCACUUUUAGUGGGGAGGAAAUGCUCAGACCUAACACGUCUGGGAGCUGACUUAACCCAAAGAAAAAGCACCGGCUAACUCUGUGCCAGCAGCCGCGGUAAUACAGAGGGUGCAAGCGUUAAUCGGAAUUACUGGGCGUAAAGCGAACGUAGGCGGUUACCUAAGUCGGAUGUGAAAUCCCCGGGCUCAACCUGGGAAUUGCAUUCGAGACUGGAUAGCUAGAAUGCGGAAGAGGGAAGCGGAAUUUCCGGUGUAGCGGUGAAAUGCGUAGAUAUCGGAAGGAACAUCAGUGGCGAAAGCGGCUUCCUGGUCCAGCAUUGACGCUCAGGUUCGAAAGCGUGGGGAGCAAACAGGAUUAGAAACCCCAGUAGUCC
rnacentral:rRNA from 1 species